UUAUGGCUGUGUCUGAAGAAGGGAAGGUACUGAGGGAUGAGGGCUUUAAGGGGGCCUUUGAUACGGCUUGUAAAGAUGAGCUUGACGUACGAUUAGCUAGGUGGUGGGGUAAUGGCUUAAGAAGGCGAUGAUGGGUAGCGGGUAUGAGAGGGUGAUCAGUCACACUGGGACUGAGACACGGCUGCAGACACCUUACGGGAGGCCAGCAGUGCGGGAAUCAUUGACACGAUGGGGGCCAAGCCUGAUGCAGCGCAUGACCGCGUGGUAGGUGCAUGAUAGGUCCCUCCAGGCGUGGCUGUGACGCUACAUGUUAGAGCUCUGGUGUAAGGCAUAAAGUAAAUGCUCUGCGUUUCGAGUACGCGGUGCAUCGGAAUGUAUUGACGGUUACCCCAGCUAUGAAAGGUAGGCACCC
rnacentral:rRNA from 1 species